UUCUGCUAAGUCGCAAGACGAUGUAUAGGAGCUGACGCCUGCCCGGUGCUGGAAGGUUAAGGGGAUCUGUUAGAGCAAUCGAAGCAGUGAACUUAAGCCCCAGUAAACGGCGGCCGUAACUAUAACGGUCCUAAGGUAGCGAAAUUCCUUGUCGGGUAAGUUCCGACCCGAACGAAAGGCGUAACGAUUUGGGCACUGUCUCAACAACAGACUCGGUGAAAUUGUAAUUCCGGUGAAGAUGCCGGAUACCUGCGACAGGACGGAAAGACCCCAUGGAGCUUUACUGUAGCUUGACAUUGGGUCUUGGUACUACAUGUACAGGAUAGGUGGGAGGCU
rnacentral:rRNA from 1 species